AUUGAACGCUGGCGGCAGGCCUAACACAUGCAAGUCGAACGGUAACAGGAAACAGCUUGCUGUUUCGCUGACGAGUGGCGGACGGGUGAGUAAUGUCUGGGAAACUGCCUGAUGGAGGGGGAUAACUACUGGAAACGGUAGCUAAUACCGCAUAACGUCGCAAGACCAAAGAGGGGGACCUUCGGGCCUCUUGCCAUCGGAUGUGCCCAGAUGGGAUUAGCUAGUAGGUGGGGUAACGGCUCACCUAGGCGACGAUCCCUAGCUGGUCUGAGAGGAUGACCAGCCACACUGGAACUGAGACACGGUCCAGACUCCUACUGGAGGCAGCAGUGGGGAAUAUUGCACAAUGGGCGCAAGCCUGAUGCAGCCAUGCCGCGUGUAUGAAGAAGGCCUUCGGGUUGUAAAGUACUUUCAGCGGGGAGGAAGGGAGUAAAGUUAAUACCUUGACUCAUUGACGUUACCCGCAGAAGAAGCACCGGCUAACUCCGUG
rnacentral:rRNA from 1 species